CUUAUAGAACAAAAUUUAACUAAAGUCAAGAAAAGAGGAUUACCAAUCCCACCAAUUUUUCAAUUAUUAUGAUUGCGAUUUUAUGCAACUGCAAGUUUUCAGCUCAUUUUAGGUGAUACCAUGACAGUAUCACAACCAACAGUUUCCAGAAUAGUUUUUCGGGUGAGCGUUUUACUUGCAAGCGAAAUUCAUGAUUACAUUAAAAUGCCUCGAACUCAAGCAGCAAAAUUAGAAAACCAGAGACUUUUUGAACGUUUGGGAUUUGGUAAUGGAGCAAUUGGAAUACCCGGGGUUGAUGGAGCAAUUGAUUGCACUCAUCCGAUUAGUUCAUACAAUGUUUCAAAAUAUUAAUGAAAUCUACAGAAAUCGAAAGGGCUAUUUUUCUCUGAAUGUACAAGCGAUUGUUGGCUCACGGAUGGAAUUUUGAGAUAUUGUUCCAGAAUGGCCUGGUAGCGCUCAUGAUAGUCGAAUUUUUCAAAAUUCUCGAAUUUACAUGAGAUAUUCUGAACGUGAACUAACUGGGAUACUUGUAUACGUAUUCUUGAUAAUUUGUAAUCAUAAAUUAAAGUCACAAUUUUAUCUCAGUUGAAUUCCGAACUGUAAAUGUAAUGAAUUCAGAAUUGUAAAUAUAAUGGAUUCUAUAAAAAUUUAAACUUUCGUUAAAUAGAUAUCAUUUGUAAUUACUUUUUCAAAAAUAUAUCUAUAAGAAAAGUU